UACGGGGGGGCAAGCGUUGUUCGGAAUUACUGGGCGUAAAGGGCUCGUAGGCGGCCAACUAAGUCGGAUGUGAAAUCCCCAGGCUUAACCUGGGAACUGCAUCCGAUACUGGAUGGCUUGAAUUCGGGAGAGGGAUGCAGAAUUCCAGGUGUAGCGGUGAAAUGCGUAGAUAUCUGGAGGAACACCGGUGGCGAAGGCGACAUCCUGGACCGGUAUUGACGCUGAGGCGCGAAAGCGUGGGGAGCGAACAGG
rnacentral:rRNA from 1 species